ensembl:tRNA
GGUCCUAUGGUGUAGUGGUUAUCACGUCUGCUUUACACGCAGAAGAUCGCCGGUUCGAACCCGGCUAGGACCU